CACGAAUGGCGUAAUGAUGGCCAGGCUGUCUCCACCCGAGACUCAGUGAAAUUGAACUCGCUGUGAAGAUGCAGUGUACCCGCGGCAAGACGGAAAGACCCCGUGAACCUUUACUAUAGCUUGACACUGAACAUUGAGCCUUGAUGUGUAGGAUAGGUGGGAGGCUUUGAAGUGUGGACGCCAGUCUGCAUGGAGCCGGCCUUGAAAUACCACCCUUUAAUGUUUGAUGUUCUAACGUGGACCCGUGAUCCGGGUUGCGGACAGUGUCUGGUGGGUAGUUUGACUGGGGCGGUCUCCUCCUAAAGAGUAACGGAGGAGCACGAAGGUUGGCUAAUCCUGGUCGGACAUCAGGAGGUUAGUGCAAUGGCAUAAGCCAGCUUGACUGCGAGCGUGACGGCGCGAGCAGGUGCGAAAGCAGGUCAUAGUGAUCCGGUGGUUCUGAAUGGAAGGGCCAUCGCUCAACGGAUAAAAGGUACUCCGGGGAUAACAGGCUGAUACCGCCCAAGAGUUCAUAUCGACGGCGGUGUUUGGCACCUCGAUGUCGGCUCAUCACAUCCUGGGGCUGAAGUAGAUCCCAAGGGUAUGGCUGUUCGCCAUUUAAAGUGGUACGCGAGCUGGGUUUAGAACGUCGUGAGACAGUUCGGUCCCUAUCUGCCGUGGGCGCUGGAGAACUGAGGGGGGCUGCUCCUAGUACGAGAGGACCGGAGUGGACGCAUCACUGGUGUUCGGGUUGUCAUGCCAAUGGCACUGCCCGGUAGCUAAAUGCGGAAGAGAUAAGUGCUGAAAGCAUCUAAGCACGAAACUUGCCCCGAGAUGAGUUCUCCCUGAGACUUUAGGUCUCCUGAAGGAACGUUGAAGACGACGACGUUGAUAGGCCGGGUGUGUAAGCGCAGCGAUGCGUUGAGCUAACCGGUACUAAUGAACCGUGAGGCUUAACCUU
rnacentral:rRNA from 1 species